UUUAUACGUCGAAUUUCGGUCGCGUCGAAUGCAAUUCAAACAAUAGAUAAUUAUGAAGUUUAAUGAGGUUUGUCAUCUCAUUAUCUAUUGUCUUAAUUACAUUCGACGCGACCAAAAUUCGACGUAUAAA